rnacentral:rRNA from 1 species
AAUAGAUACCCCGGUAGUCCAUGCCGUAAACGAUGUCUACUAGCCGUUGGGGCCUUUGAGGCUUUAGUGGCGCAGCUAACGCGAUAAGUAGACCGCCUGGGGAGUACGGUCGCAAGACUAAAACUCAAAUGAAUUGACGGGGGCCCGCACAAGCGGUGGAGCAUGUGGUUUAAUUCGAUGCAACGCGAAGAACCUUACCUGGUCUUGACAUAGUAAGAACUUUCCAGAGAUGGAUUGGUGCCUUCGGGAACUUACAUACAGGUGCUGCAUGGCUGUCGUCAGCUCGUGUCGUGAGAUGUUGGGUUAAGUCCCGCAACGAGCGCAACCCUUUUCCUUAUUUGCCAGCGGGUUAAGCCGGGAACUUUAAGGAUACUGCCAGUGACAAACUGGAGGAAGGCGGGGACGACGUCAAGUCAUCAUGGCCCUUACGACCAGGGCUACACACGUGCUACAAUGGUCGGUACAAAGGGUUGCUACCUCGCGAGAGGAUGCUAAUCUCAAAAAGCCGGUCGUAGUCCGGAUUGGAGUCUGCAACUCGACUCC